GAAUGCUGACAUAAGUAACGAUAAAGCGGGUGAAAAGCCCGCUCGCCGGAAGACCAAGGGUUCCUGUCCAACGUUAAUCGGGGCAGGGUGAGUCGACCCCUAAGGCGAGGCCGAAAGGCGUAGUCGAUGGGAAACAGGUUAAUAUUCCUGUACUUGGUGUUACUGCGAAGGGGGGACGGAGAAGGCUAUGUUGGCCGGGCGACGGUUGUCCCGGUUUAAGCGUGUAGGCUGGUUUUCCAGGCAAAUCCGGAAAAUCAAGGCUGAGGCGUGAUGACGAGGCACUACGGUGCUGAAGCGACAAAUGCCCUGCUUCCAGGAAAAGCCUCUAAGCAUCAGGUAACAUCAAAUCGUACCCCAAACCGACACAGGUGGUCAGGUAGAGAAUACCAAGGCGCUUGAGAGAACUCGGGUGAA
rnacentral:rRNA from 1 species